rnacentral:snoRNA from 1 species
UACACUCUGAUUGUGUUUUUGUUCAAUGCUUGGACAAAAGCAUGGAAAUAGAUGCAAGCAUAAAUCCUCAUUUGCCAUCCACAACUCAUUGAUGAGUGUGAGUUUUGAUACACACAUGAAGGAACACA